GAAAUAAAUUCAAAGCUUAAGCCGCUAACUUAAGUUUUAGUGUUAAAUCAUUAUUAUUUCU
rnacentral:tRNA from 1 species